rnacentral:lncRNA from 1 species
GGCAAGGGGACGAGGUUGUAGUAGCAGAAACAGGGAAGAGCUACAGCCUUGGGAGAGAGGCCUCCUGACAAGAGCUGUGGCUGUAGGAAGAAGAAAAUAUCUUAAACUGUUCCUGACUUACUCUCUCUUGGAAGCACACUUCAGCAUUCUGCGUUGAACUUCAAGAUCGCAUGAUGAGGUUACCUCUGAAUUCUGCUCGGCUGUUCCCCAUUUUGCUCUGUUUUUACACUGUGUCCUUGGAAUCUGUUCUAAUAACCCAUACCUAUUAAACUCCAUCCAUGAAGAUCCUGGGGCACCCCAGACUUAAGCUGCUCUCAAAUGAAACCAGAACAAUAAUCACAGCUAAGCCUCUGGAAUCUGGGGGCCUGCCAGGAGCCAAUUUCUCCAAGCAUAAAAGAGACAACAAUGAUUUUGAUGUGGAAGAUUUCCCCUGACCCUGAGAAGCUUUGUAUGGAAUGGUCCCCACAAUGGUUGCUGGCUUCAGUCGAAAUAACAGGUAUCCAAAUGCCACCUUCAUGGUCAUGGAAUCGUUCACUUCAGAGAGGAGAUGUAGAAAAGUCAGAGAAGGCAAUGAUUGGCUGGUUCUGAAAUGAAAAUCAGUUUCAACCAACGAUCCUUGAUUAUCCAGUAACGUGCCAGAAAAUUGACCAUUUCCCUCCCAUUUUAUUCAUUCAUACUGCAUUCUGAGGACCACGCACUAAUUUACUAGGAGCCGUUAGACGUUUUUUAUGUUUUCAGGGAAAAUGGAGAGGAAAGAAUUUAAAGAUAUAUAGCUGACAGGUAAACAAUUGUCUGAAAUAUAUCCUUCAGGAGAAAAUCUGCCAUCUACAACGCUGACCUGGAAACAAAUAUUUAGCAUUCCAAAAUAUUCUGAAUAGUGGUGGCUUUUAGAAAGCUUAUAGUGGAAAUCAUGCAGGCAUGUCCUACUACAGCUGAAAUUUAGAGGAAUGAAAAGCCAUAUAAAUAAAAAGUAAAACGCUGAGACAGUAGUUGUCUGACUGAACUACAACUUGCAUUUGACAAAUUUGAAUUCUUUGUCUUGCUAUUUCAGCAAGAUAACACAGUGUUCCUUUCUUCAGUAACUAAAGUGUUGUAACUAAGGUAGAACAGAACAGUCGUGAGUAGAAGUUCGCUAUUGGUUAAUGCUUCCACGAUGAGUCUGGGAAAUUUGAAUAUAGCAUGGCCCAG